AACGAACGCUGGCGGCAGGCUUAACACAUGCAAGUCGAACGCCCCGCAAGGGGAGUGGCAGACGGGUGAGUAACGCGUGGGAACGUGCCCUUCGCUUCGGAAUAGCCCCGGGAAACUGGGAGUAAUACCGAAUACGCCGUAUUGGGAAAGAUUUAUCGGCGAAGGAUCGGCCCGCGUUAGAUUAGCUAGUUGGCGGUGUAAUGGACCACCAAGGCUACGAUCUAUAGCUGGUCUGAGAGGAUGAUCAGCCACACUGGGACUGAGACACGGCCCAGACUCCUACGGGAGGCAGCAGUGGGGAAUCUUGGACAAUGGGCGCAAGCCUGAUCCAGCCAUGCCGCGUGAGUGAAGAAGGCCUUAGGGUUGUAAAACUCUUUCGCCGGAGAAGAUAAUGACGGUAUCCGGAGAAGAAGCCCCGGCUAACUUCGUGCCAGCCGCCGCCUAAGAC
rnacentral:rRNA from 1 species